rnacentral:rRNA from 1 species
CCCCAGACUCCUACGGGAGGCAGCAGUGGGGAAUAUUGCACAAUGGGGGAAACCCUGAUGCAGCGACGCCGCGUGAGCGAUGAAGUAUUUCGGUAUGUAAAGCUCUAUCAGCAGGGAAGAAGAUGACGGUACCUGACUAAGAAGCCCCGGCUAACUACGUGCCAGCAGCCGCGGUAAUACGUAGGGGGCAAGCGUUAUCCGGAUUUACUGGGUGUAAAGGGAGCGUAGACGGCGGCGCAAGCCAGAUGUGAAAGCCCGGGGCUCAACUCCGGGACUGCAUUUGGAACUGUGUGGCUGGAGUGUCGGAGAGGCAGGCGGAAUUCCUAGUGUAGCGGUGAAAUGCGUAGAUAUUAGGAGGAACACCAGUGGCGAAGGCGGCCUGCUGGACGAUGACUGACGUUGAGGCUCGAAAGCGUGGGGAGCAAACAGGAUUAGAUACCCCCGUA